AUACUGACCUGGCAGGGGAGAUAACAGGAUCAUGAAGGUGGUCUUGCCAGGGCGAGGCUUAUCCAUUGCACUACAGAUGUGCUGAUCCCUUUAUUUCCUCAAAUAUGGGAAACUCAACCACAUGAUUUGUGACAGUGGGAGACUGUACCCUCCCC
rnacentral:snRNA from 1 species